ensembl:lncRNA
CACCCAUUCUGGACAAGGUGGGACAGACACCAGGAGUAAGAGGUCCACCUCAAGCUGGCUGGGCUGUAGGCCCUGCAGGGCUCUGACAGAGCAGUCAAGAUGAUGUGGUUACAUUGAUGCCUUGUAAAGCAGCACUACAGAAGAAAUAGCCUGUGGAAGCAAUGCCAGCCACAUAGGUGAGAAAAUGGAGGCAGGAAGAUGUCUGUCUUAGUCCAUUUGUGCUGCUGUGACACAAUACCACAGACUGGGUAAUUGACAAAGAACAAAGAUUUACUCUCACAGUUCUGGAGGAGGAGAAGUCCAAGAUUAAGGUGCCGGCAUCUGUGAGGAUGCUGCGCUCCUGCCCUGCGGAGGAUGCAGCAGAUAAGCACCAUCUUGGAGGAAGAGAAUGGCUGUACCAGACCAAACCUGCUGGUACCUUGACCUCAGACUUCCCAGCCUCCAGAACAAAUCUUCAAGCACCACAAUAUGGCAUGUCUUCCCUCUGCCACAAGAAGGGUGAUGUCCCUGAGAGCUGCUUCUUCAGUCUGGAAUGAAGAAGAUAUGAAACAAAGCCACAGCCUACCUUCCACUAACAUGUAACAUGAGCAAAGCAAACAACAUUAUUGCUGCAAGCCUCUGAGAUUUUUAACAAUAAUUGUAACACAACUGAUGAAAGUUCAUGGAUAUAGAUGCCUUCAAGGACUUUGACCUCAGCAACUAAAAGAAUGGAGUUUCCCUUGACUGCGAUGGGAAGCUCAAGGGGGAAGAAGGUUUCAAAGGGCUUAUUAAGAGUUCACUUUCAAUGAGAUGUGUCCAGGCAGGGACACAGAGGAGGCAAUUGGAUUUAAGAAUCGAACAUUAAGGGAAAGAGCUAGGCUGGAGAUAAAAUAAAAUUGGUGUUCAUCAGCAUACAGCUGGUAAUUUAUAGGGCCAGAGGAUUCAUUAAGAUCAUCAAGGGAGUGCCUAUCACUAUAGGAGAGGAAGACUCCAUGAGAGGUCAUUAGCGAUCUCAUCACGAACAUUUUCUCUCACAGUGAGUUUGAGAAGGAAUGUGGGGAAAGAAAUUGACUACAACCAGGACAGUUAAUUUCUUGAGAUUUGCUCUGAAGGAAGCCAAGAAAUGGGCCAUAACCCGGCAAUUUCCAAUAGGAUGAAAACAUCAGACCAGAUGCUCUUCUUGCACAGAUGAGCAUAUUCCUUUUCUUUCUCUUGGCCUGUUUCUCAGUUUUACCACACUGUGAAGUACCUAUGAUUACCUUCCAGGGUCUCUAACAGGUGAAGUGACUUAAUUAAUGUCACACACCUAGUACAUGGCACAGCCGAGAGUCAUUCCUUCAUCUCUCUUUUGACAAAGCCUGUGCUCUUUUCUCCUUUAUAAUUGUCUUCCAGAAAAGUUGCAAUAUUUUCUUUGAAGCAAAUUUCACAAAUGUUUCCUGCAUUACUUCUCAACUAGCAAAGUGUAGCUUGGGAUAAAAUUGACAUAAUCAGGUGACUUUUUGUUCCCUAGUGCUUACUAUUAAGCUAUGUUCUGCUGCUGUCAGUUUUAAAUUAAGAGUUCUCACUCGACCUAAAAUGUGGCUUAAACUCAACACUAGUUCAGUCUAGAAGGAAAGCUGCAAACUCACCAAAAUGUCAGGUGAACAUUUUAGUCCUUCUUUGGUUUUAAGUUCAAGCAACCAAUUACCAAACUAUAAUUACUUUAAAAUUUGGUAGAAAUUUUAUGAAUUCAUAAUGAUGAUUGGAUACAUGUGAUUGAAGGUUAAAAGUGGUGUUCUAGUGCAAAAGCCGUUUCUCCUACCUACUGGUUGGUUGAAUUUCAUCCACACAUAAUAAACAAAUGGAUCAUGUGGCAAUGACUAGGCUCUUAUAUUGAUUAGGCUUUUCUAGAGGAACAGAAUUGAUAGAAACACACACACACACACACACACACACUCACACACAUGAGCUUUAGCAUAUAUAGCAAGACAAUUUAUUAGGUAGGCUCACGGAAUUAGAGAUAGGAGAAUCCACAGUGAGUAUCUGCAUGCUGGAGAGUCAGAGGGAGCUGAUCGGUCCAAAAAGCUGGGAGCCAAAGAACAAAGAUGCAGCAGCAGUGUGAAACCAAAGGCCUAGAAGCUUCCUGGAAAGUUGCUAGUAUGAGUGAGUCUCCAUUGGAUGCCCGAAGAUAUAAAAGUCUGAUGCUUAUAGUCCAUGGCAGCAACAGACACACCCACUCAAGCAAAAUGGAGCUUGGAAAAUGCAGUCGACUUCCUCUCUUUUCCCUGUUUUAUUUCACCUGGACUCAAAGCCUAGUGGAUGGAGCCACACACAAUCAGCAUGGGUCUCCCCUCCGUGCUGACCCACCUGGCAGUCAUCUCUGGAAACUCCCCACCACCACACCAAGAAGUGUGCUCUACUAACCCACUAGGCAUUUCUUUUUAUUGGCAGUACUGGGAUUGGGUCUGGGGCCUUCACACUGAGCUACAUCCCCAGCUCCUCUUUGUUUAUUAUUAUUAUUAUUAUUAUUAUUAUUAUUAUUAAUACUUUGACACAGAGUCUUAUGAGUCACUAAGUUGCCCAUGCUAAGUUUGAGCUUUUGAUCCUUGUUCCUCAGUCUCCUAGGGUGCUGGGAUUACAGGUGUGCCCCACCAUUUCUUAAUCUGCUCAAGUUGAUAUAUCAUAAUAGUCACAGUUCUCAAAAUGUUA